rnacentral:rRNA from 1 species
GAUGAACGCUGGCGGCGUGCCUAAUACAUGCAAGUCGAGCGAACAGACGAGGAGCUUGCUCCUCUGACGUUAGCGGCGGACGGGUGAGUAACACGUGGAUAACCUACCUAUAGGACUGGGAUAACUUCGGGAAACCGGAGCUAAUACCGGAUAAUAUAUUGAACCGCAUGGUUCAAUAGUGAAAGACGGUUUUGCUGUCACUUAUAGAUGGAUCCGCGCCGCAUUAGCUAGUUGGUAAGGUAACGGCUUACCAAGGCAACGAUGCGUAGCCGACCUGAGAGGGUGAUCGGCCACACUGGAACUGAGACACGGUCCAGACUCCUACGGGAGGCAGCAGUAGGGAAUCUUCCGCAAUGGGCGAAAGCCUGACGGAGCAACGCCGCGUGAGUGAUGAAGGUCUUCGGAUCGUAAAACUCUGUUAUUAGGGAAGAACAAAUGUGUAAGUAACUAUGCACGUCUUGACGGUACCUAAUCAGAAAGCCACGGCUAACUACGUGC